rnacentral:misc_RNA from 1 species
AACGCACAUUGCGCCCCUUGGUAUUCCGAGGGGCAUGCCUGUUCGAGCGUCAUUAUGACCACUCAAGCCUAGCUUGGUAUUGGGGUUCGCGGUCUCGCGGCCUCUAAAAUCAGUGGCGGUGCCGUCUGGCUCUAAGCGUAGUAAUUUUCUCGCUAUGGGGUCCGGAUAGUUGCUUGCCUAAACCUCAACUUCUCACGGUUGACCUCGGAUCAGGUAGGGAUACCCGCUGAACUUAA